rnacentral:piRNA from 1 species
CCCAGAUGCAGAAGAACCACAGCUUCCAGA